rnacentral:rRNA from 1 species
GGCGAACGGGUGAGUAAUGUAUCGGAACGUACCUUUCAGUGGGGGAUAACGUAGCGAAAGUUACGCUAAUACCGCAUAUUCUGUGAGCAGGAAAGCAGGGGAUCGCAAGACCUUGCGCUGAUUGAGCGGCCGAUAUCAGAUUAGCUAGUUGGUGAGGUAAAGGCUCACCAAGGCGACGAUCUGUAGCGGGUCUGAGAGGAUGAUCCGCCACACUGGAACUGAGACACGGUCCAGACUCCUACGGGAGGCAGCAGUGGGGAAUUUUGGACAAUGGGCGCAAGCCUGAUCCAGCCAUGCCGCGUGAGUGAAGAAGGCCUUCGGGUUGUAAAGCUCUUUCAGCCGGGAAGAAAACGCAUGGGUUAAUACCCUGUGUGGAUGACGGUACCGGAAUAAGAAGCACCGGCUAACUACGUGCCAGCAGCCGCGGUAAUACGUAGGGUGCGAGCGUUAAUCGGAAUUACUGGGCGUAAAGCGUGCGCAGGCGGUUUGUUAAGAUAGGCGUGAAAUCCCCGGGCUCAACCUGGGAACUGCGUUUAUGACUGGCAAGCUAGAGUAUGGCAGAGGGGGGUGGAAUUCCACGUGUAGCAGUGAAAUGCGUAGAGAUGUGGAGGAACACCGAUGGCGAAGGCAGCCCCCUGGGCCAAUACUGACGCUCAUGCGCGAAAGCGUGGGUAGCAAACAGGAUUAGAUACCCUGGUAGUCCACGCCCUAAACGAUGUCAACUAGGUGUUGGGAGGGUAAAACCUUUUAGUACCGGAGCUAACGCGUGAAGUUGACCGCCUGGGGAGUACGGCCGCAAGGUUAAAACUCAAAGGAAUUGACGGGGACCCGCACAAGCGGUAGAUGAUGUGGAUUAAUUCGAUGCAACGCGAAAAACCUUACCUACCCUUGACAUGUCCGGAAGCCCUUAGAGAUUUGGGUGUGCUCGAAAGAGAGCCGGAACACAGGUGCUGCAUGGCUGUCGUCAGCUCGUGUCGUGAGAUGUUGGGUUAAGUCCCGCAACGAGCGCAACCCUUGUCGUUAAUUGCCAUCAUUUAGUUGGGCACUUUAACGAGACUGCCGGUGACAAACCGGAGGAAGGUGGGGAUGACGUCAAGUCCUCAUGGCCCUUAUGGGUAGGGCUUCACACGUCAUACAAUGGUCGGUACAAAGGGUCGCCAACCCGCGAGGGGGAGCCAAUCCCAGAAAGCCGAUCGUAGUCCGGAUCGUAGGCUGCAACUCGCCUGCGUGAAGUCGGAAUCGCUAGUAAUCGUGGAUCAGCAUGUCACGGUGAAUACGUUCCCGGGUCUUGUACACACCGCCCGUCACACCAUGGGAGCGGGUUCCGCCAGAAGUAGGUAGCCUAACCGCAAGGAGGGCGCUUACCACGGCGGGGUUCGUGACUGGGGUGAAGUCGUAACAAGGUA